UACAUUUCACUCCAGACCCUCGCUAAGCUCCUGAGAAACGCCAGGUAAACGUUUGCCUACACACACCCUAAUCGCAACAUCAGGGUUGCGGCACGCCGGAAAAACGACACGGAACGUCAGGAAGGGGUCAAUGGCCGUUACGCUAAUUCAGUAAGCCUGGAAUUUUGUCUGAUCUUGAGGAAAAGGGGAAGCGUUAAAAACAGUUAUCAAUAUAGAAUGUAUAAAUUGUAUGUAAAUCAACAUUUUGUUUGUGUUUUGGAGUAAAUGCGGAUCAAUAAUAACUAACCCC
rnacentral:sRNA from 25 species